AUUGAACGCUGGCGGCAUGCCUUACACAUGCAAGUCGAACGGUAACAGGCCGCAAGGUGCUGACGAGUGGCGAACGGGUGAGUAAUGCAUCGGAACGUGCCCAGUCGUGGGGGAUAACUGCUCGAAAGAGCAGCUAAUACCGCAUACGACCUGAGGGUGAAAGCGGGGGACCGUAAGGCCUCGCGCGAUUGGAGCGGCCGAUGUCAGAUUAGCUAGUUGGUGGGGUAAAGGCCUACCAAGGCAACGAUCUGUAGUUGGUCUGAGGGGACGACCAGCCACACUGGGACUGAGACGCGGCCCAGACUCCGACGGGAGGCAGCAGUGGGGAAUUUUGGGCAAUGGGAGCAAGCCUGAUCCAGCAAUGCCGCGUGCAGGAAGAAGGCCUUCGGGUUGUAAACUGCUAUUGUCAGGGAAGAAAUCUUCUGGGCUAAUACCCCGGGAGGAUGACGGUACCUGAAGAAUAAGCACCGGCUAACUACGUGCCAGCCGCCGCGGUAACAC
rnacentral:rRNA from 1 species